rnacentral:rRNA from 1 species
CACACGAAUCUCCGCAACGGAUAUCUCGGCUCUCCCAUCCAAGAAAAACGCAACAAAAAUGCGAUACCUGGUGUGAAUUGCAGAAUCCCGUGAACCAUCGAGUUUUUGAACGCAAGUUGCGCCCGAGGCCUUUUGGUCGAGGGCACGUCUGCCUGGGCGUCACGU